UCUGGUGUUGAAGGCCCUGCAAAGCAGCAUCGCGGUGGCGGAGCGUCGUUUGCGACGCCCAACACACAAAACAAGCGGUGAAUGCUUUGGGGUGGGGUGACUGCGUACCUUUUGUAUAAUGGGUCAGCGACUUAUAUUCUGUAGCAAGGUUAACCGUAUAGGGGAGCCGUAGGGAAACCGAGUCUUAACCGGGCGUUAAGUUGCAGGGUAUAGACCCGAAACCCGGUGAUCUAGCCAUGGGCAGGUUGAAGGUUGGGUAACACUAACUGGAGGACCGAACCGACUAAUGUUGAAAAAUUAGCGGAUGACCUGUGGCUGGGGGUGAAAGGCCAAUCAAACCGGGAGAUAGCUGGUUCUCCCCGAAAGCUAUUUAGGUAGCGCCUCGUGAAUUCAUCUCCGGGGGUAGAGCACUGUUUCGGCUAGGGGGCCAUCCCGGCUUACCAACCCGAUGCAAACUGCGAAUACCGGAGAAUGUUAUCACGGGAGACACACGGCGGGUGCUAACGUCCGUCGUGAAGAGGGAAACAACCCAGACCGCCAGCUAAGGUCCCAAAGUCAUGGUUAAGUGGGAAACGAUGUGGGAAGGCCCAGACAGCCAGGAUGUUGGCUUAGAAGCAGCCAUCAUUUAAAGAAAGCGUAAUAGCUCACUGGUCGAGUCGGCCUGCGCGGAAGAUGUAACGGGGCUAAACCAUGCACCGAAGCUGCGGCAGCGACGCUUAUGCGUUGUUGGGUAGGGGAGCGUUCUGUAAGCCUGCGAAGGUGGCCUGUGAGGGUUGCUGGAGGUAUCAGAAGUGCGAAUGCUGACAUAAGUAACGAUAAAGCGGGUGAAAAGCCCGCUCGCCGGAAGACCAAGGGUUCCUGUCCAACGUUAAUCGGGGCAGGGUGAGUCGACCCCUAAGGCGAGGCCGAAAGGCGUAGUCGAUGGGAAACGGGUUAAUAUUCCCGUACUUGGUGUUACUGCGAAGGGGGGACGGAGAAGGCUAUGUUGGCCGGGCGACGGUUGUCCCGGUUUAAGCGUGUAGGUGUGUGUUCCAGGUAAAUCCGGUUCACUUUAACACUGAGGCGUGAUGACGAGGCACUACGGUGCUGAAGCAACAAAUGCCCUGCUUCCAGGAAAAGCCUCUAAGCAUCAGGUAACAUCAAAUCGUACCCCAAACCGACACAGGUGGUCAGGUAGAGAAUACCAAGGCGCUUGAGAGAACUCGGGUGAAGGAACUAGGCAAAAUGGUGCCGUAACUUCGGGAGAAGGCACGCUGAUAUGUAGGUGAAGUCCCUUGCGGAUGGAGCUGAAAUCAGUCGAAGAUACCAGCUGGCUGCAACUGUUUAUUAAAAACACAGCACUGUGCAAACACGAAAGUGGACGUAUACGGUGUGACGCCUGCCCGGUGCCGGAAGGUUAAUUGAUGGGGUCAGCGCAAGCGAAGCUCCUGAUCGAAGCCCCGGUAAACGGCGGCCGUAACUAUAACGGUCCUAAGGUAGCGAAAUUCCUUGUCGGGUAAGUUCCGACCUGCACGAAUGGCGUAAUGAUGGCCAGGCUGUCUCCACCCGAGACUCAGUGAAAUUGAACUCGCUGUGAAGAUGCAGUGUACCCGCGGCAAGACGGAAAGACCCCGUGAACCUUUACUAUAGCUUGACACUGAACAUUGAGCCUUGAUGUGUAG
rnacentral:rRNA from 1 species